AGUUCGAUCAUGGCUCAGAUUGAACGCUGGCGGGAUGCUUCCACAUGCAAGUCGAACGGCAGCACGGACUUCGGUCUGGUGGCGAGUGGCGAACGGGUGAGUAAUGUAUCGGAACGUGCCUAGUAGCGGGGGAUAACUACGCGAAAGCGUAGCUAAUACCGCAUACGCCCUUCGGGGGAAAGCGGGGGACCUUCGGGCCUCGCACUAUUAGAGCAGCCGAUAUCGGAUUAGCUAGUUGGUGGAAGUAACGGCUCACCAAGGCGACGAUCCGUAGCUGGUUUGAGGAGGACGACCAGCCACACUGGGACUGAGACCACGGCCAGACUCCUACGGGAGGCAGCAGUGGGGAAUUUUGGACAAUGGAAACCCUGAUCCAGCCAUCCCGCGUGUGCGAUGAAGGCCUUCGGGUUGUAAAGCACUUUUGGCAGGAAAACGGCUGGGAUAAUACCCCGUGCGCUGACUGACCUGCAGAAUGAAAGCACCGGCUAACUACGUGCCGGCAGCCGCGGUAAUACGUAGGGUGUAAGCGUUAAUCAGGUUACUGGGCGUAAAGCGUGCGCAGGCGGUUCGGGAAGAAGAUGUGAAAUCCCAGAGCUUAACUUUGGAACUGCAUUUUAACUACCGAGCUAAGAGUGUGUCAGAGGGAGGUGGAAUUCCGCGUGUAGCAGUGAAAUGCGUAGAUAUGCGGAGAGAGAACACCGAUGGCGAAGGCAACCUCCUGGGAUAACACUGAAAUGGCGCUCAUGCACGAAAGCGUGGGAGCAAACGGGAUUAGAUACCCUGGUCCACGCCCUAAACGAUGUCAACUAGCUGUUGGGGCCUUCGGGCCUUGGUAGCGCAGCUAACGCGUGAAGUUGACCGCCUGGGGAAAUUACCGGUCGCAAGAUUAAAACUCAAAGGAAUUGACGGGGACCCGCACAAGCGGUGGAUGAUGUGGAUUAAUUCGAUGCAACGCGAAAAACCCUUACCUACCCUUGACAUGUCUGGAAUCCCGAAGAGAUUUGGGAGUGCUCGCAGAACGGAACACAGGUGCUGCAUGGCUGUCGUCAGCUCGUGUCGUGAGAUGUUGGGUUAAGUCCCGCAACGAGCGCAACCCUUGUCAUUAGUUGCUACGAAUGGGCACUCUAAUGAGACUGCCGGUGACAAACCGGAGGAAGGUGAGGCUGACGUCAAGUCCUCAUGGCCCAUAUGGGUAGGGCUUCACACGUCAUACAAUGGUCGGGACGAGGUCGCCAACCCGCGAGGGGGAGCCAAUCAGAAACCCGAUCGUAGUCCGGAUCGCAGUCUGCAACUCGACUGCGUGAAGUCGGAAUCGCUAGUAAUCGCGGAUCAGCAUGUCGCGGUGAAUACGUUCCCGGGUCCUGUACACCGCCCGUCACACCAUGGGAGUGGGUUUUACCAGAAGUAGUUAGCCUAACCGUAAGGAGGGCGAUUACCACGGUAGGAUUCAUGACUGGGGUGAAGUCGUAACAAGGUAA
rnacentral:rRNA from 1 species